rnacentral:rRNA from 1 species
GUGGGGAAUCUUCCGCAAUGGACGAAAGUCUGACGGAGCAACGCCGCGUGAGUGAAGAAGGUUUUCGGAUCGUAAAGCUCUUUCGUUAGGGACGAACGUGCUCUUUGUGAAUAAUGAGGAGUAAUGACGGUACCUAAAUAAGAAGCCACGGCUAACUACGUGCCAGCAGCCGCGGUAAUACGUAGGUGGCAAGCGUUGUCCGGAAUUAUUGGGCGUAAAGCGCGCGCAGGCGGGAUAUCAAGUCUGUCUUAAAAGUGCGAGGCUCAACCUCGUGAGGGGACAGAAACUGGUAUUCUUGAGUGUCGGAGAGGAAAGUGGAAUUCCAAGUGUAGCGGUGAAAUGCGUAGAGAUUUGGAAGAACACCAGUGGCGAAGGCGACUUUCUGGACGAUGUCUGACGCUGAGGCACGAAAGCUAGGGGAGCGAACGGGAUUAGAAACCCGGGUAGUCC